rnacentral:rRNA from 1 species
GAUGAACGCUGGCGGCGUGCCUAAUACAUGCAAGUCGAGCGAACAGAUAAGGAGCUUGCUCCUUUGACGUUAGCGGCGGACGGGUGAGUAACACGUGGAUAACCUACCUAUAAGACUGGGAUAACUUCGGGAAACCGGAGCUAAUACCGGAUAACAUAUUGAACCGCAUGGUUCAAUAGUGAAAGGCGGCUUUGCUGUCACUUAUAGAUGGAUCCGCGCCGUAUUAGCUAGUUGGUAAGGUAACGGCUUACCAAGGCAACGAUACGUAGCCGACCUGAGAGGGUGAUCGGCCACACUGGAACUGAGACACGGUCCAGACGCCUACGGGAGGCAGCAGUAGGGAAUCUUCCGCAAUGGGCGAAAGCCUGACGGAGCAACGCCGCGUGAGUGAUGAAGGUCUUCGGAUCGUAAAACUCUGUUAUCAGGGAAGAACAAAUGUGUAAGUACCUGUGCACAUCUUGACGGUACCUGAUCAGAAAGCCACGGCUAACUACGUG